UACGUAGGGCGCAAGCGUUUGUCCGGAAUUAUUGGGCGUAAAGAGCUCGUAGGUGGCUUGUCACGUCGGGUGUGAAAGCUUGGGGCUUAACUCCAGGUCUGCGUCCGAUACUGGUUGGCUUGAAUCCGGGAGAGGGAUGUGGAAUUCCAGGUGUAGCGGUGAAAUGCGUAGAUAUCUGGAGGAACACCAAUGGCGAAGGCAGCUACCUGGCCUAAAACUGACGCUGAGGUGCGAAAGCGUGGGGAGCGAACGGG
rnacentral:rRNA from 1 species